rnacentral:rRNA from 1 species
GUGAGGAAUUUUCCGUAAUGGGCGAAAGCCUGACGGAGCAAUGCCGCGUGAAGGAUGAAGGCCUAUGGGUUGUAAACUUCUUUUCUCAGAAAAGAAUUAUGACGGUAUCUGAGGAAUAAGCAUCGGCUAACUCUGUGCCAGCAGCCGCGGUAAGACAGAGGAUGCAAGCGUUAUCCGGAAUGAUUGGGCGUAAAGCGUCUGUAGGUUGUUUAAAAAGUAUUCUGUCAAAGAUUAGGGCUUAACCCUAGAUAGGCAGAAUAAACUUUUAAGCUAGAGUUUGGUAGAGGCAGAGGGAAUUCCCGGUGGAGCGGUGAAAUGCGUAGAUAUCGGGAGGAACACCAAAGGCGAAGGCACUCUGCUGGGCCAAUACUAACACUGAGAGACGAAAGCGAGGGGAGCAAAUGGGAUUAGAUACCCUGGUAGUCC